AUUGAACGCUGGCGGCAUGCCUAACACAUGCAAGUCGAACGGAAACGAAGGGAGCUUGCUCCCAGGCGUCGAGUGGCGGACGGGUGAGUAAUGCUUGGGAAUCUACCCAGUAGCGGGGGAUAACUCGAGGAAACUCGAGCUAAUACCGCAUACGCCCCACGGGGGAAAGCGGGGGACUCUUCGGAGCCUCGCACUAUUGGAUGAGCCCAAGUCGGAUUAGCUUGUUGGUAGGGUAAUGGCCUACCAAGGCGACGAUCCGUAGCUGGUCUGAGAGGACGAUCAGCCACACCGGAACUGAGACACGGUCCGGACUCCUACGGGAGGCAGCAGUGGGGAAUAUUGGACAAUGGGCGAAAGCCUGAUCCAGCAAUGCCGCGUGUGUGAAGAAGGC
rnacentral:rRNA from 1 species